AUGUCUAUUUUUUCUAAAGGGGUAAAUAUUACAUUAGAACCAGUUUGAAAAUAGCAUAAAUCAGCCUUUAGCAGAUAUUUGGAUGGUAGUGUCAGGGUUCUCUGUUUUCAUGCUCUCUAACUCUGCUUCACAGGUGGCUGCAGUUGAUCAGGUGGGCGUGGCCCGCACCUGUGGCUAAUUAUGGAACCUCCACCUCUGGCUUAAAAGGAGUGCUCAGACAGUUGGGUGACGCCAGAGUGGCCUCUGACCUGUCACCUGUGCCCUGUAUCUGACCAGUCAUCCGAAUCCCUGCCGCUCAGAUUUUGCUCUGGCAUUUCCCCUCUCUUGGUGGUACCAAGCUGGGCGUGAGACCCCUUCCCUGGAUUCACCUGGUUCGUCAAGUCACACUCCGGUUCUUCCAACUGCUCCUCCUGCCUGCCGUCCGUAUUGGUGCUGUUCGGGCCCCCUGCCUGCAUUACAUCUGCCAGCCCUCCUGUCACUCAGCCACAACUGUCCAUUAGAGAGUUGUGAUCUCAGAGUUCCUUCGUCACUCACUCCCCCCAGACAAGUCUCUCCUUCCAAAUGCUCUGACGUUCAGACCUCGCCUGUUGCACACAGCGUGUGCUUCCCCCCUUUGUCGAGCCUUUAAUAAACAUCUUAAACUGUUCCUGUUGCUGUCUGUGUCUGCAUGUGGGCCAAACACUUAAAAACCAUGACAGGUAGAAUGAAUACUAAAUGUGAAAAGAUAACACUGUCAGUGAAAA